rnacentral:rRNA from 1 species
GACGAACGCUGGCGGCGUGCUUAACACAUGCAAGUCGAACGGGAAGGCCCUGCUUUGGUGGGGUGCUCGAGGGGCGAACGGGUGAGUAACACGUGAGUAACCUGCCCUUGACUUUGGGAUAACUUCAGGAAACUUGGGCUAAUACCGGAUAGGAGCUCCUGCUGCAUGGUGGGGGUUGGAAAGUUUCGGCGGUUGGGGAUGGACUCGCGGCUUAUCAGCUUGUUGGUGGGGUAGUGGCUUACCAAGGCUUUGACGGGUAGCCGGCCUGAGAGGGUGACCGGCCACAUUGGGACUGAGAUACGGCCCAGACUCCUACGGGAGGCAGCAGUGGGGAAUAUUGCACAAUGGGCGGAAGCCUGAUGCAGCAACGCCGCGUGCGGGAUGACGGCCUUCGGGUUGUAAACCGCUUUCGCCUGUGACGAAGCGUGAGUGACGGUAAUGGGUAAAGAAGCACCGGCUAACUACGUG